ensembl:lincRNA Platr23 pluripotency associated transcript 23
GUUGCAGCGUGGCGUGGGAGCUGCAGAGGAAGGGGUUGGGGAAGGUGGAGACACUGAAAACUGAACAUUGGCAUUUGGUUCACUUUAGUGUUUGCAAUCCAAGUAUUGAAUCAAAAUCAAACGGAGAAAAGGAUUCCUUAAGGAGCCUUUGAGACUGCCAUAGAGGAGGGACCGCUGCAGAAAAUUGUCUCAGUGCCAGCCUACCUGAAGGCUACGCAAAGGGAAACCACGUGUAAUCCCAGGUGCAGCUGUCCUGUAAAACACGCCCACACACACUUCAUCAUCAGAUGGUAUUUAAAUGCCACGUACUUUCUCAGUUGUCUGAAUUUGCUUAUUACGUUGAAUACUAACUAGCCUCAAAUACUGGCCAUCGUUCUUGUUUAAAAUCUCUGUUAGGAUACAUACCCCUCUUCCCAACCCCUCCAGUAUAGAAUACCUAGAAACUUGAAAAGUUGUUCCUUAUUCAGUUGGGGGAAAUUAGAUAAAAUCUUGAAAUUAAAAGUUCUAUCGACAAAACCAAAUAGAUAUUAAUUUAGUGCCUAAUAAUGUAUGAAAGGCAUUCACAGCGAGCAUGCAAAAAUCUAAACCAGCAACUUUCCUAGGUGUAUUUAUACACCACAGACUUCUUAAUAAAAAGAUCUGGAGAACAGUUAUUUACAUAGUGUGUUUUCUUAAAGAAAUCACACGUCCAUAUUCUCAUAGUGUUUCUCGAGAUGACUUCUUGUAAUAACUUCCCUGAGAAAUUUUGCAAUUAAAGCCAUAGCGGUGUAUUGUUUACCAACACAGGCCUCUCUGAGCCUGCCCAGAAACCUUAAAACUAUUUUAUGAAUAGUUUCAUGAGGCAUUGUAUCUUCCUAGCCCCAUGCAACUACAGUUAAAUUAUUUCCUGAAACUACCAGGUAUAGCUAAGCGUUGAACACUGAAAAUUCAAAAACUUCAGACAGUAAUAAAAUAUUAGUCAGUGCCAGUGAGAAAUGAGGCUGUCCCUGUACUCAGGGUGUCCAUGUUUAAUGGUAAAGCUGGGCUGCACAUAAGCCAGCCCAAGCAUGAAGGGCAGUGGGACACUCAUAUGAAAGCCAACUUUGUUCUACAGUUAUCAAGAUAAGAAACCUGUCAUUUCUCUCAUUCACGCUGUCAGCCUUGAGCUACUCCAAGCAGACUUACCUCUAGGUUGUAUACCCCAUAUAUCAGGAAGAUGAAGAGACCCUGUAAAAUAAAACGGAGGGGGAAAGCUGUUAGCGCUAAUCAUUCCGCCAGUGGAAAUGCCCGAAAUAAACUUUCCUGGGAACAGACAAAAGAAGACACACUUCAUCAACGUCCAUUUAUUUUCCCGUUUUUCACCAUUAGAAGUCGUACCUUGAGCAUUUAUAUGAUAACACACCAGCACAUCACUUAUACUGGUUGUGCUAUUCAAUUCUUUGGUGAUAGAAAAUAGAAAUAGUAUCCUAACUACAUGGAAUAAUAAUUAGGAGGUGGCUAGAUGAUGAAACACUUAAUAUUUCUAAACUCCGUCUAAACUCCGUUUGGAGCAGCAACUUCAGUAUAUCUUAUCAUCUUUGAAGUUAUAAAAUUAGGAAAUAAUUGAAAGAUUAAACACUACAGGUUACUGACAUAGUUCAAUGAUACUGUGGUUGCCUACUGUGGAUAAAGCUUGAACCCCAGUACCAGUAAAACCAACCUCCUUUAAACCCUCAAAACUAAAGAGAUAAACUUAGGUAAUAGGGACUGCGGACAUAGCUCAGCAGUUAAGAGCAUUUGUUUUUCUUGCAUAAGAUCAGGGUUUAAUUCCCAACACUCACCUAGGGGGAUCCUGCAGGAAUGAGCAUGGCACAUACAUGGAUGCGGGCAAAAAUUCAUAUACAUAAAGUAAAUAAAUCCUCAAAAAGAUAAUAAAUACGAAUUGUCUAUUUGAAACAGAGUCUCACUAUAUUCCCAACUCAUAAUCUUCCUAUCUCUGCCUUCCAAAUACUGAAAUCACAGGCUAAGCCCCCACACCCAGAAGUAUGAAUAUUUUUUAAAAUACUUAAUUUUUAAAAAGAUUAUGUUUGAGACAAGAUCUCUCUUUCCCUUAGACCAGGUUGUCCUAGAAUUCACAGAGAUCCAUCUUCCCUCCUAAGUGCUGGGAUUAAAGGUAUAGACUACCAACACCAGGCUAGAUUCUUUUUUAAACUUUAUUUUAUAUGCAUGAUUAUUUUUGCCUUCCUGUAUACAUAUGUACCAUGUGCAUUUCUGGUGCCAAGGAGGUCAGAAGAGGGUAUCUAUAGCCCUUGGAAGUGGAGUUACAGACAUUUUCAAACCAGUGAGUGCUGGGAUUUGACCCAGGUCCUUUGAAGAGUAGACAGUACUCUUAACUGUUGAGCCAUCUCUCGGGCUGGAGAUUUUGUGUAUUGUACUUAGCAUUCACAAGGCUCUGGGUUUGAGUCUCGGGAAUGGC